GUUCUCACUUCAGCAAUACAUAGACUAAAAUUGGAACCAUGAGAAAAGAUUAGCAUGGCCCCUGCACAAGGAUGACAUGCGGAUUCAUAAAGCAUUUCAUAUUUUU